UACGAAGGGGGCUAGCGUUGUUCGGAAUCACUGGGCGUAAAGCGCACGUAGGCGGAUCUUUAAGUCAGGGGUGAAAUCCCGAGGCUCAACCUCGGAACUGCCUUUGAUACUGGGGAUCUCGAGUCCGGGAGAGGUGAGUGGAACUGCGAGUGUAGAGGUGAAAUUCGUAGAUAUUCGCAAAAACACCAGUGGCGAAGGCGGCUCACUGGCCCGGAACUGACGCUGAGGUGCGAAAGCGUGGGGAGCAAACAGG
rnacentral:rRNA from 1 species